rnacentral:rRNA from 1 species
UGAGGAAUAUUGCGCAAUGGGGGAAACCCUGACGCAGCAACGCCGCGUGAGUGAGGAAGGUUUUCGGACUGUAAAGCUCUGUCGAGCGGGAAUAAAUGUAUAAUGGCUAAUAUCCUUUAUACUUGAAGGUACCGCUAGAGGAAGCACCGGCUAACUCCGUGCCAGCAGCCGCGGUAAUACGGGGGGUGCGAGCGUUGUUCGGAAUUAUUGGGCGUAAAGAGCGUGUAGGCGGCUGGAUAAGUCAGAUGUGAAAUCCCUGGGCUUAACCCAGGAAGUGCAUUUGAAACUGUUCAGCUGGAGUAAGGGAGAGGAAAGUGGAAUUCCUGGUGUAGAGGUGAAAUUCGUAGAUAUCAGGAGGAACACCGGUGGCGAAGGCGACUUUCUGGCCCUAUACUGACGCUGAGACGCGAGAGCGUGGGUAGCAAACAG